UACGAAGGGGGCUAGCGUUGCUCGGAAUCACUGGGCGUAAAGGGCGCGUAGGCGGUCAGCACAAGUCAGUUGUGAAAAUCUCCGAGCUUAACUCGGAAAGGUCAACUGAUACUGUGCGACUAGAGUGCAGAAGGGGCAACUGGAAUUCUCGGUGUAGCGGUGAAAUGCGUAGAUAUCAGGAGGAACACCGGUGGCGAAGGCGGGUCUCUGGGCAGUAAACUGACGCUGAGGAGCGAAAGCGUGGGUAGCAAACAGG
rnacentral:rRNA from 1 species